AACAGGUUAUUCCCAACCAAUAUUUAAGCAUCAGUUGUAUCUAACAGAGAACUACUAUGGAUAGCUUGAUAAAGAACAAGAAAAUUUACCUCCCUCCACCAUGAUAUUUAUGAAAUUCUUGUUUCUACUAAGUCAGGAAUCGAAAUUUUGAGAUAUAACUCUUAGAAAUAUGAAGAGAAAAUUGCUGUUAUUUUUGGAAGAUUAUUUCAAGCAACAAAUAUUUAUUUAUUGAACUGCUGCUAUGUGGCAAGCACUAUUCUAGGCACUGGAGUCCAAAGGACUGGCAAGGCCCCCUCCCAUGGAGUAUGUAGUUUACUGUGGGUAAAUGGAGGAUGGCAAUAAAGAAGGAAAUUCAUGAGAUUCCAGAUAGAGAUCUAAUGAUUUCAGGUAUGAUGUCUUGCUUAACUGAAAAGUCAAAAUGUGUCAUCAGAAAAAUUAUAAGAAAUAACAUGAGGAAGUAACAAGUUAGGAGGAUGUAACCAAUGUAUAAAAGUAAUAGUUUUAAAUAAUCAUAUAGAAAAUAUAAUGAAAAAAUAUUUCCACUCAUGAUAGCAACAAAUAAAAUAAAAUAGAUAGGAAUGAAAUUAGCAAAAAAGUACUGAACAUAUAAUGAAAAAAAUCUAGGAGUUCCCUUGUAGCUCAGAGGGUUGAGGAUCAGGUGUUGUCAUUGCUGUGGCUCUGCUUAUAGCUGUGGUGGAGGUUUGAUUCCUGGUCCAGGAAUUUCUGCAUGUCAUAGAUGUGGCCAUCUGCAUGUCAUAGAUAUGAAUGUGUGUAUAUAUGUAUACAGACACACACAAACAUCAUAUAUGAAUAUACAUACAUACAUAUAUACAUAAUUUUUAUUUUUUCAUUUUUUUAUUAGAGUAUAGUUGAUUUAUAAUGUUGUGCUAAUUUCUGCUGUACAGCAAAGGGACCCAGUCAUACAUAUAUAUACAAUCCCUUUCUUUGUUAUCUUCCAUCCUGGUCUACCCCAAGAGAUUGGAUGUAGUUCCCUGUGCUAUUCAGUAGGAUCGCAUUGCUUGUGCAUUCUAAAUGUAACAGUUUGCAUCUACUAAACCCCAAAUUUCUAGUCCAUCCCACUUCCUCUUCUCGCACCUCCUUGGCAACCACAAAUCUGUUCUCUAUGUCUGUGAGUCAGUUUCUGUUUUGUAGAUUGGUUUAUUUGUGCCAUAUUUUAGAUUCCACAUAUAAGAGAUAUCAAAUGGUAUUUGUCUCUCAUUCUGACUUACUUCACUUGGUUUGAGAAUCUCUAGUUGCAUCCAUGUUCCUGCAAAUGCCAUUAUUUCAUUAUUUUUAUGGCUGAAUAGUAUUCCAUUGUAUAUAUGUACCACAUCUUUUUAAACCAUUAUCAGUUAGAAUAGUGUCAUAAUAGUGCUACUAUGAAUAUGCGGAUGCAAGUAUCUUUUUGAAUUGUAGUCUCUUUCAGAUGUAUGCCAAGGAGUGGGAUUUCUGGAUCAUAUAGUACUUCUAUAUUUAGUUUUUUUGAGAAACUUCUAUAUUGUUUUCCUUAGGGGCUAUACCAAUUUAUAGUCCUACAAACAGUGUAGGAGGGUUCCCUUUUCUCCACAUCCUUUCCAGCCUUUGUUAUUUGUAGACUUAUUAAUGAUGGCCAUUCUGACUGGUGUCUUAUAGUAGUUUUUAUUUGCAUUUCUCUAAUAAUUAAUGAUGUUGAACAUUUUUUCAUGUGCCUACUCACCAUCCAUAUGUCAUCAUAUUUUUUUUUUAAUUGAGAGAAUGCAUGACUAAAUAAAUGGAUAAAAUUAUGUUUCUGGCUAGAAGGGCUUAUGGUUGUAAAGAUACUCUUUAUAUUUUCUUUAUAAAUUUAUCACUACUAUAAUCCUAAAAAACUUCUUUGGGACACUUGUAAAGAGAAUAUGACAUUAUGACAUCUGGGAUAAUACACAUUAAAAACCAGUCAUAAAUAAUUUGAUUGAAGAGCAACAUAAAAGGACAUCUGGGCUUAAGAUGUUAAAAUAUAUCAUAAAGCAGCAAGGGAAUUGAGCUAGAAAAUGCAAAAGUCAAGUAAAUAGUGCAGGGACAGCACCUUUGUGGCAUAGUUAUCAUCUUCUCCCAUCUUCCUCACCAUGGCAGUCAUUCAUUUAUAAAUUACCUGGGCACCUUUCCUGCUGGGCCUGGACAUGGCCUCAGAAUACUUAAGACAGACACUGUUAGGUCGUCAAAGUUGGUACCUGGGUUAAAACAUAUUGGCAUCAUGUUCAGAUGUGUGAUACAAAAUUAGUAAAGAAAGGAAGGAUUAUUCUCGGCAACAAUUCUAGAAAAACUGGCCAAGUCUUUGCAAAGAGCAUUUAGACCUUUACUUCACAUUAUAAAAAUAAAUUCCAGAUGAAUCAAAGGAGUGAAUAUAAAAAAAAGAAAGCAGGAAAACGCUUGAUGAUAAUAUAGAUAUUUAUCUAACAUCAAAGUUAUGUAGAUCUUUUUAGCAUGAAAACAAAGGAAGAAAUCAAUAAAAGAAAGGAUAGAUAGAUGAAAUUACUCCAAAAAUUUUCAUUUCUGUACAUCUUAAAAGUAUUAUUUACAAAACACACUGGGAAUGUUUUCCCAUAUUUUGUAAAACAUUGUUUGAAAGUAUGUAGAUAUACUCAAACACAUACAUACUGAAGAGAUUAGACUGAAACAUACAAAAAUAUUUUCAGCCAUCUAUUUAAGGUAGAGAAGUUAUGGAUGAUUUUAUUUAAAAAUUUUUUAUUAUAAAUAUGUUUUUCUAAAAAGGAGUAACUAUCAAAUUUGUGAAGGGUAAUAUAGGAAACUAACAUUUUUUAAAAAAUCUAAUAUUCAAUAUUUUUACAUAUGUCAUUUCUGCAGCAUAUAGAAGUUCCCAGGCUAGGGAUCCAAUUGUCCAGUCAAAGCAACAGCUGCCAGUCUAUGUCACAGCCACAGCAACAUGGGAUCCAGGCUAUAUCUGUGGUUUACACCACAGCUCACGGCAACGCCAGAACCUUAACCCACUGUGCAAGGCCAGGGAUUGAACCUGCAUCAUCAUGGAUACUAGUUGGUAGUAUUACAGCUGAGCCACAAGGGGAACUCCCAUAACAAUCUUGACGUGUGGUUGUGGUCUGAAGGAAAUGUUUAUCUGACCCCAUAGGCCAUUAUCCAGCAUCAGUGAUGGAGCUUUGUUCUGCUUGCUGUCAGAAUCAGAUAGAAGGGGAAAAAAAUUACGUUUAUAUUCAGGUCGGCAGCAGGAAGGAGAUUAUUUUAUUCCCUUCAUGUAUCUCCAUUCAGUCCUUCAGUGGAGUGUGUAUUAGAUGCUUGUCUUAUAGAUGAUAAGCUUUUGAAGAUGAAAUAAUGGUAGCUGGGCAAAAAGUGAGCUCUUUCUGUUCUUAUAUACCAUUUGCAAAUAUGAGUCUCUGCUUGAAGAUAAUUCUUUGACUGUUCUUUUUCUGUCCUACCAACUUGUACACCUUGUAUUUGAGAUCUUGUGGUUGCAAGAGUGUUACUAUUGAAAGAGAAAAAAUUAUUUCCUUAUUACAGACAUUCUGGAGCCUUUAAUUUUGUGUAUUACAGGCACCUUGCUGCAAAAAGUGGCAAAGUGAUGGAAUCAAAUGUAUGCAUUACAGUUCCAGGUAAGAAAUAAGCACUCUCAAAUGCAGAAAUAUUAUAUGUAGUUAAUUAUAUUUUCAGUAAAUCUUUCUUCUCUCAGCAUGCACACUUCUCAAAUCCCAUCAUUUUCUUUUCAGAUAAUAAAGAAAUGAACAUAUUUAUGUUAUCGGAUGCUAUUGAAUGUAGCCAAUUUAUGCUUUGAGUUUAGAGUUUUAGUCUACUGAAGUCUACUGAAGUAAAUUUGCAUAUAUUUUGGAAAUACAUUUUUUGUAUUUGAUAUGUUGAUUGGUAUGAUCGAUAUGUACAUAUUAUUGAUAUGUUUUAUUGUCCUCUGGACUGGGUUUGGUGCCUUUUCUCUGCUUCUUCUGGACCCAGGGGAACAUUAUUUGAAAGCAUCCAGCUAGAUAUUACAAAUUUCAAAUUGAUUUAAAAAGGGAUCUUGGUUAUUUUUAGGAUAUUGUUUUUCUAGAACUAUUUGCUGAUGGCAGUUUUCUUCUAAAUUAGCUUAGAAAAUAUUUCUAAACAAGAUUGUGGCCACUGUCUGCCAAUUUGCGCAAACAAACCCAAUGCACUGAAGCUUCUGAUCCUUUUAUUUUUAAGUACAGUUUAUAACAUUGUAGCCAUUAUUGACAUUCUUGAAGAGCUGGAGGAAAGAAUUCCCCAGCACAGUGCCUUUUGCUAAGCUCUUUUCUUUCUUCCAAAUUUUUAGUAGCUUCCCCACUGCUUGUCAAAAAAAAAGGUCACAGUUCAUGUAGCCAAAGGCUAAUUUUUAAGCCACUUUUAUUAUUUCAUAUACCCCUUGCCUCAGCAAAAUUGUACCAUUCACUAUUCAGCUGAUGAGAUGUACUCAUUUUCUAUUUCCUUUGAUCAUGAUCUUGAUUUCCUCUCUCUCUCUCUCUCUGGUGAGAUCCUGCCUUGAUGGCCCCACUUAACUCAUUGUGAAGCUUCCUCUCACUCCCAGCUCUGAAUUCCCAUUCAUGCUUAUGUGUACCUCUGAUCCCAUAGGCCAUGUGUAGACUCUUUGUUAAGUUCUCUUUCUGGCUUCCUGCUGAGCCUGUUACAGCUUGGCAUUGGGCACCCUGAGCACCUGCAUCAAGUGUCUGCAGUUCUCCCACUUCUUUCUUUUUUUCAUUUCCUCCAUCUUCACCUUAUUUGGUUUCUAUUUUCCAUUUACUUAAGUUUUACAUCUUUAAAUGGGGUCUUAUUUUUAUAUAUAUAAUCUAAUUUUCUAAUUUUUAUUUUGAAAUGGCUUCUCCUGGACAAGUCUCUGGCCUUGUGCAUGUCACUUAGACCUUUUGAGACCAGAAGGACCUUGAGACCGAACAAUAACUUGAGACCCAGGUCACUCUCACCUUAAAGCUAGACUGCACUUGGCCCCGCUUUCUAGAGGAGGAGACUUAAACACCUGCAAAAAUAUCCCACCUAACAUUGCAUUAUUUGAGGCGGUUCCCCAAUCCCUUUUAUGGAACCUUGUUAGGAGAACAGAAGUGCCCUUUUCUAACGAAGUCCCAGCUGGAAUGGAGAAUGUUCAGUCUCUUCAGCUUCAAGCAAUCUGUUCCCACUUCUGUUCAUGGUGAAGAAGACUCUAGACUUCCUUCUUUAGCCUUUUCUGCUCUUUUACUGAGGUCUUCUCAUGGAAUUUAGUCCUAGUCUCUUGAGACAUACCAUGCGGCCAAAUCCAUUCUCUACUUUUGGCAGAGACAUCCCUCCUGGGUCCUCUCCAUUUAGCAUUCUCUCCAUUUUCCUCCCUUCCCUGAACCUAGCAAUUCUCAGCCUUUUCAUGUCUUUGUACCCCUCUUGUGUCUGCCUUGUGCUUUUUAUGGAGAUUGUUAGUCUCAUAUCUAUCUCUUUCUGAUAGACAAGGAGUGUAAACUUCAGCUUCUGAGGAUAGAAGGAGACCUAAAGAAGAAGAGUUUCUCCGGAUCAAAAGAGUGCCCUUCUCUACCUUUGCUUUAAACAGCUCCCUUUUUAUAACCUUAGCCAUUUUCAUGUUUCAGCAUGGGAUGGGUUAAGGUGAAAGCCUGACAUGUCAUAACUAUUCUUGCUCUAUUCAUCUUGUUAUUGCCAACUGAUACCCAGCUAGAAGUCUUGCACUUAGAAGGUGCUCAGUUAACGCUAGAUUCAUAGUCUUGUCUACUUUUUAAAAAUUCCCACAUCUUUGAGUUCCCUCUGUGGCCCAGCGAAUUAAGGAUCUGGCAUAGUCUUUGAGGCGGUGCUGGUUCAGUCCCCGACCAAGUGCAGUUGGUUAAGAAUCCCAUGUUGCUGCAGCUGUGGCACAGGUCUCAGCUGAGCCUCAGUUUUGAUCCCUGGUCUGGGAACUUCCAUAUGCUGCU
rnacentral:lncRNA from 1 species